AUUGCUCCAUCCGGAUGGGGCUGGCCAUGGUGGAGGCCAUCGCGUAAGGGAAUUUGGGAAAAAAUGGGAAUUCUAUGGGAUUUGGGAAUUGGGAAAUUGGGAAUUGCUCCAUCCGGAUGGGGCUGGCCAUGGUGGAGGCCAUCGCGUAAGGGAUGGGAAAAAAUGGGAAUUCUAUGGGAUUUGGGAAUUGGGAAUUGCUCCAUCUGCAUGGGGCUGGCCAUGGUGGAGGCCAUCGCGUAAGGGAACUUGGGAAAAAAUGGGAAUUCUAUGGGAUUUGGGAAUUGGGAAUUGGGAGUUGGGAUUGGGAGUUGGGAUUGGAAUGGGAAUGGGAAUUGGGGACUGGGGAUUGAGAAUGGGGAAUUGGGAUGGGGAAUUGGGGAUUGGGAAUUGGGGAUUGGGAAUUGGGGAUUUGGGAAUUGGAGACUGGGAUUGGGAUGGGAUCAAUGGGACAGGAUGGGAUCCAUGGGAUGAGGAUUGGGAAUUGGGGAUUGGGAAUUGGGGAUUGGGAAUUGGGAUUUGGAAUCAAUGGGAUAGGAUGGGAUCCAUGGGAUGGGGUUUGGAGAUUGGGAAUGGGAAAUUGGGAAUUGCUCCAUCCACAUGGGGCUGGCCAUGGUGGAGGCCAUCGCGUAAGGGAAUUUGGGAAUUUGGGAAUUGGGAAAUUGGGAAUUGUUCCAUCCGCAUGGGGCUGGCCAUGGUGGAGGCCAUCGCGUAAGGGAAACGGGGAUUUGGGAUUUGGGAUUUGGGAAUUGGGGAUUUGGGAAUUGGGGAUUUGGGAAUUGGGGAUUUGGGAUUUGGGGAUUGGGAUUUGGGAAAUUGGGAAUGGGGAAAUUGGGAAUGGGGCUGGCCAUGGUGGAGGCCAGCGCGUAAGGGAAUUUAGGAUUUGGGAAUUGGGGAUUUGGGAUUUGGGGAUUUGGGGAUUUGGGAUUUGGGGAUUUGGGAAUUGGGAAUUGCUCCAUCCGCAUGGGGCUGGCCAUGGUGGAGGCCAUCGCGUAAGGGAAUUCCAUGGGAUUUGGGAAUUUGGGAAAUUGGGAAUUGUUCCAUCCGCAUGGGGCUGGCCAUGGUGGAGGCCAUCGCGUAAGGGAAACCGGAAUUCUAUGGGAUUUGGGAACUGGGGAUUGGGAAUUGGAAACUGGGAAUUGGGAUGCCAUGGGGAUAGGGAUUGGAUGGGAAUGGGAACAGGAAUGGGAAUUGGGAUCCAUGGGAUGGGGAUGGGAAUUUGGGAUUGGGAACUGGGAACUGGGAAUUGCCAAUUGUGAAUUGUGAAUUACCAAUUGGGAUGGGAUCCAUGGAUGGGAUUGGGAUGGGAAUGGGAUGGGAAUUGCGAUGGGAAUUGCGAUGGGAAUUGCGAUGGAAUGGGAAUGGGAAUUGGGGAUUGGGGAUUGGGGAUUGGGGAUUGGGAGCGCACCCACACUGCCGUAGACAUUCCCCAUGUUCCCACGAUGUCCCCACGAUGUCCCCCGAUGUCCCCAUGUCCCCAUCCCCAGCUCGGUGCGGGAGCGCACGCACACGGCCGUGGACAUUCCCCAUGUCCCCAUGUCCUCACGAUGUCCCCAUGGUGUCCCCAAUGCCCCAGCUCGGUGCCGGAGCGCACGCACACGGCCGUGGACAUUCCCCAUGAUGUCCCCAUGGUGUCCCCACAAUGUCCCCAUGUCCCCAAUGUCCCAGCUCGGUGCGGGAGCGCACGCACACGGCCGUGGACAUUCCCCAUGAUGUCCCCAUGUCCCCAUGGUGUCCCCAUGAUGUCCCCAAUGUCCCAGCUCGGUGUGGGAGAGCACGCACACGGCCGUGGACAUUCCCCAUUCCCCAUUCCCCAUUCCCCAUUCCUGGUGACCAUCCCCAUGUCCCCACAAUGUCCCCACGAUGUCCCCAUGUCCCCAGUGUCCCAGCUCGGUGUGGGAGCGCACGCACACGGCCGUGGACAUUCCCCAU
rnacentral:lncRNA from 1 species